CACACCGCCCGUCACACCAUGGGAGUUGGAUUCACUCGAAGGCGUUGAGCUAACCCGCAAGGGAGGCAGGCGACCACAGUGGGUUUAGCGACUGGGGU
rnacentral:rRNA from 1 species